UUUCAGCCGCUAGGCAAGAUUUUAUGGGCUCAAAAAAUCGUUUAUUGUCUUUUAAAUAUGUUAUGAUGCUUUUGAGUGAAAUACGUGGACUUUUAGAGGGGUUUUAGACCCGUUGAACACUCAAAAAGUCGACAUUUAUAAAUUAUUUAUUUAUUUAUUUCAGCUUCCGGUUAACUUCUGAUUGUUUGUAAAAAUAGUUUCGAUUUUUUAAAGUGUAUUGUGUUCGUGAGAAAUGAGAUUUGUGGAUUUUGGAAUGUAUUUUUUUAUCGUGUUUGUUCGAACACUUUUUCAUAUAGUUAUUUAAAUAUAGCUUUAUUAUUACUGAAGCUUGGAAUAUUUUUAUAUGUCCAGAAUUAAUUUAAAAUUAUGCCCUUUCAUAAUAUGUAAAGCAUUCCGGCCUAGCUCCAUUUUUGCGAGGGGUCAUUUUCAAAAUCAUUUGCGUAACGUAAAUAUGGCGGACGUGACGUCAUCAGCCGCCUUCAUCCGGGGACCGAGACCCUGGACCUUCCCUCCUCCCAGUGCCCUUCCAUUAGUAUUUAGUGUUAUUUCCUAUAUUUUCCAGCUGUUUUCAUGCAUAGAGAAGAAUAGAAAGAGGAGGAAAGAAGGAGAAAUGAAGAAGGAGGAGGAAGAAGAGGGAAGGGAAGGAGGAAGAGGAGAAGGAAAAGAAGAAAUAUUAAGAAAAGAUUUUCACUGAAUUUCCAGCGUUUUAAAGAAUUAAUUGAUGAGCUACAGAACUACAGCAUCGUUCAGGUGGCAGCCGGAGACCAGCACUCUCUUUCUCUCACCUCCUGGGGCCUGGUGAUAAACAGUGCACACGCGGGACUGAGUCACUCGGUAAACACAGUGCAGCGGGCCGCGGGUGGCGCCAAGCAGUGCGCUCUGGUGGCCAGGGGACAGAGUAUGCCUUGUGCGGGAAUUUUAAUCGAUUUUGUGAGUACACAUUGAUUUUUUAUUGAUUUUAAGGCUCAGGGAAAAAUGUGCCGGAUACUUGAAGCUGCCGGAUACUGGAAUGCCGGAUGAGAGGGAUUUUACUGUACAAGUAUAUUCAAAUUAUUUCUCCUAGACAGGUUAGGUUCUCUCCCUCUCCCUCUCUCUCUAAUCUCCCCUCUCACUCUCUCUCUCUCUCUUUAAAGGUAUAUUAUAUCUUAAGUUAAGUUGGGUUUUGUUAGAUUAGGUCUUAGUUUCUCUCUCUCUCUCUCUCUCUCUCUCUCUCUCUCUCUCUCUCUCUCUCUCUCUCUCUCUCUCUCUCUCUCUCCCUCUCCCUCUCCCUCUCCCUCC